rnacentral:rRNA from 1 species
UACGGAGGGUGCAAGCGUUAUCCGGAUUCACUGGGUUUAAAGGGUGCGUAGGCGGGCAGGUAAGUCCGUGGUGAAAUCUCUGAGCUUAACUCAGAAACUGCCAUGGAUACUAUUUGUCUUGAAUAUUGUGGAGGUGAGCGGAAUAUGUCAUGUAGCGGUGAAAUGCUUAGAUAUGACAUAGAACACCAAUUGCGAAGGCAGCUUACUUCACGAUCAUUGACACUGAGGCACGAAAGCGUGGGGAGCAAACAGG